rnacentral:rRNA from 1 species
UACGGGGGUGCAAGCGUUAAUCGGAAUUACUGGGCGUAAAGGGUGCGUAGGUGGUUGAUUAAGUUAUCUGUGAAAUCCCCGGGCUUAACCUGGGCAAGUCAGGUAAAACUGGCUGACUCGAGUAUGGGAGAGGGCAGUGGAAUUUCCGGUGUAGCGGUGAAAUGCGUAGAGAUCGGAAGGAACACCAGUGGCGAAGGCGACUGCCUGGCCUAAUACUGACACUGAGGCACGAAAGCGUGGGGAGCAAACAGGAUUAGAUACCCUGGUAGUCCCUGAG